rnacentral:SRP_RNA from 1 species
GCAGUAUUGAUGUAGUAUGGUAGUGAAUGAAGGCUGAGGCAGGAGAAUUACUUGAGUCUAGGAGUUCUGGGCUAUAGUGUGCUAUGGCCAUUUAGUGUCCACACUAACUUUGGAAUCAACAUGGUGACCUCCAAGGAGGGGGGAGGUUGCCUAAGGAGAAAUGAACUGGUCCAGGUCUGAUACAAAGCAGGUCAAAACUCUCAUGCUGAUCAGUAGUACGACAGUACCUGUGAACAACCACUUUUCUCUAUCCUGGACAACAUAGUGAGACCCCUUUCUCU